rnacentral:rRNA from 1 species
AGGACGAACGCUGGCGGCGUGCUUAACACAUGCAAGUCGAACGGAAAGGCCCUUUCGGGGGUGCUCGAGUGGCGAACGGGUGAGUAACACGUGGGUGAUCUGCCCUGCACUUUGGGAUAAGCCUGGGAAACUGGGUCUAAUACCGAAUACACCUUGCUGGCUGCAUGGCUGGUGGGGGAAAGCUUUUGCGGUGUGGGAUGGGCCCGCGGCCUAUCAGCUUGUUGGUGGGGUGAUGGCCUACCAAGGCGACGACGGGUAGCCGGCCUGAGAGGGUGUCCGGCCACACUGGGACUGAGAUACGGCCCAGACUCCUACGGGAGGCAGCAGUGGGGAAUAUUGCACAAUGGGCGCAAGCCUGAUGCAGCGACGCCGCGUGAGGGAUGACGGCCUUCGGGUUGUAAACCGUCUUUCAGUAUCGACGAAGCGCAAGUGACGGUAGGUACAGAAGAAGCACCGGCCAACUACGUGCCAGCAGCCGCGGU